rnacentral:lncRNA from 1 species
GACCCCGGCCUCAUUGUCGGUGGAUCCGGCCGCCCGGAGGCGAGGGGAGACCGGCUAUCACCCUCUCUACUCUUCUCCUUCUACGUCCGGCACCGCUACAACGACGGCCGCGCGGAUCGCGUGAGGCAACGGAUCGGCGGAGGCCUGCAACAACAACGGCCGCGCGGGCGAGCAAUCGAGGAGGCCGGGAAUCACCAGAUCCGGAAGGACGGCGGCCCGAUUCGGAGAGGGAGCAACCCGAUCUGUGUCAUUGAGGCUCAUUGUAAGUGUCGACGGCGGCCGUUCCUUCACAGUGAUCCAGGGUCGUUGGGUCUGUUGAGCUCGGUAUCGACGGCAGCAGUAGCUCGGGCAAGAUGGAAGAAACGUGUUAGACACGGCCUCCUCCGAGAGCAUACACCAGCGACGUGCAGGAGGCCGAGGCCAAAGCCGAUCUUCCCCAACCCCAUCUGGCAUUAUAACUUCGAGAAGGUCAGCCUGAUGGUGCAGAACUCUGGCUUGAGGAAGACAUGCUUCAGUGUUUCUCCAUGCACCGACAACACUAUCAUCCUGCCACCACAACACACAAAUCUGGCGAUGCUUCCACCUGCAUCUGCAUGCCCCUGGCUCCCUGCAUACAAGAUUUUAUGGCAGGAAAGCUCCCAUAAGCUUCUUGGGCGGUUAGACUGCAGCAGUAAUGAAAGGUGCUGAUGAUGGAUCAUUUAGGAUAUUGUGUGCUUUGCCAGCGUUUCAGGUCCGGAUGCGGCAUCCACGUGGGCAGGCCGUUACCAUGAAGAUCAUGCCAUCGGAUUAGUUGUCCAUGUGCAUAGAUCAAAGAAAAAAAGAAGCACGCGUUCACCUCUAGUUAUAUAUAAUUUUGAGAUACCGGUCACCACCGACGCCGUCUUCACCACAGGUACUGCUUCAUUUCUUCUGCUCCCUCCUUCCUCCCUCGUCGCCUCAGCCGCCGCCCCCCUUCUCGCUGCCUCCACCACCCUCCGCCGCCUCCAACGCCUGCCCCGCCCUCCCCGACUCUGCGCCCGUCCCCCUCUCUCGCCGCCUCCGUCGCCUACCUCGUCGCCUCCACGCCCGUCCCCUUCUCUCGCCGUCUCCAUGGUCAUGCGGGUGUUCCGACCAGAGCCCAUCGAUGAGACACCGGAGCAUGCCCGCGUUCUCACCGCCGCAAACUCGCCCAACAGCAUCAGAGCUUGAUUUUUGGGGGGAUGGGGCUCCAUGAGCCUGCUAUGAGUGAAGCCAUCGUCCAAUGAUCUCUAAUGAAUUUUCAUUAGUAUUCCCCACAAAAAAUUGAGGUGUUUGUUCCGUCAGUGUCCUACCUAGAUAGUGUUUGUUGUUUUCCAUACACGCAUGGGGAUGUGGCUCCGCUAUAUCAGUUACGCCAGCAUGACCUUUUGGUGUGUAUGCCUGAACAGUUUGUGGGGCUUCGGAUUUGGAUCCUAGCUUGCACUUAAUUUGCUUUUAAACAUUUGACCCCCACCUAAAUGUGAGCAGAUAGAUAUCCAUAAUCGAAUGGAAGAGUUAAAAUUAGUAAAGAAAUUUAGUAUUGAAAGUAUUCGUUUUUAUUUAGCUCUGUGGAUGCAUCCAAUCCAUAUAUAUUAUGAUUGCCGGCAACUGCUUUUUGGCUAGAAUAUUUCUGUGACUACUUCAAUAGCU